rnacentral:hammerhead_ribozyme from 1 species
GUCCAGCUGAUGAGUCGCAAACAGGACGAAUCGAUGGUCCUGGAU